rnacentral:lncRNA from 1 species
GGAUUGCUCAUGUGCAUCGUCACAAUACAAUUACAGUCCAGCUGGUCAUAUUAUUACUGGUGACCUUGGCAUCGUUACCAAUGAACAACUAAGAGAGUUGUUAGCCAAGGGACCAAAAUAUAGAAUCCCCCAGCCAUCAACUGGAAAAAGAAUUUCAAGUUACUGAUGGAUGCAGUUGAGGACUAUGCAAGAAAAUGGGUAAAGCGCGAACCAGACGAACCAGAACUGGAC